rnacentral:rRNA from 1 species
UUUUACAAUGAAGAGUUUGAUCCUGGCUCAGGAUGAACGCUAGCUACAGGCUUAACACAUGCAAGUCGAGGGGCAGCAUGAACUUAGCUUGCUAAGUUUGAUGGCGACCGGCGCACGGGUGAGUAACACGUAUCCAACCUUCCGUUUACUCAGGGAUAGCCUUUCGAAAGAAAGAUUAAUACCUGAUAGUAUGGUGAGAUUGCAUGAUAGCACCAUUAAAGAUUUAUUGGUAAACGAUGGGGAUGCGUUCCAUUAGGUAGUAGGCGGGGUAACGGCCCACCUAGCCGACGAUGGAUAGGGGUUCUGAGAGGAAGGUCCCCCACAUUGGAACUGAGACACGGUCCAAACUCCUACGGGAGGCAGCAGUGAGGAAUAUUGGUCAAUGGGCGAGAGCCUGAACCAGCCAAGUAGCGUGAAGGAUGAAGGUCCUACGGAUUGUAAACUUCUUUUAUACGGGAAUAAAGUAUCCUACGUGUAGGAUUUUGUAUGUACCGUAUGAAUAAGCAUCGGCUAACUCCGUGCCAGCAGCCGCGGUAAUACGGAGGAUGCGAGCGUUAUCCGGAUUUAUUGGGUUUAAAGGGAGCGCAGACGGGAGAUUAAGUCAGUUGUGAAAGUUUGCGGCUCAACCGUAAAAUUGCAGUUGAUACUGGUUUCCUUGAGUGCAGUUGAGGCAGGCGGAAUUCGUGGUGUAGCGGUGAAAUGCUUAGAUAUCACGAAGAACCCCGAUUGCGAAGGCAGCUUGCUAAACUGUAACUGACGUUCAUGCUCGAAAGUGUGGGUAUCAAACAGGAUUAGAUACCCUGGUAGUCCACACGGUAAACGAUGGAUACUCGCUGUUGGCGAUAUACUGUCAGCGGCCAAGCGAAAGCAUUAAGUAUCCCACCUGGGGAGUACGCCGGCAACGGUGAAACUCAAAGGAAUUGACGGGGGCCCGCACAAGCGGAGGAACAUGUGGUUUAAUUCGAUGAUACGCGAGGAACCUUACCCGGGCUUAAAUUGCAGACGAAUUACCUGGAAACAGGUAAGCCGCAAGGCGUCUGUGAAGGUGCUGCAUGGUUGUCGUCAGCUCGUGCCGUGAGGUGUCGGCUUAAGUGCCAUAACGAGCGCAACCCUCGUGGUCAGUUACUAACAGGUAACGCUGAGGACUCUGGCCAGACUGCCAUCGUAAGAUGUGAGGAAGGUGGGGAUGACGUCAAAUCAGCACGGCCCUUACGUCCGGGGCUACACACGUGUUACAAUGGGAGGUACAGAAGGCCGCUACCCGGCGACGGGAUGCCAAUCCCCAAAACCUCUCUCAGUUCGGACUGGAGUCUGCAACCCGACUCCACGAAGCUGGAUUCGCUAGUAAUCGCGCAUCAGCCACGGCGCGGUGAAUACGUUCCCGGGCCUUGUACACACCGCCCGUCAAGCCAUGAAAGCCGGGGGUACCUGAAGUGCGUAACCGCAAGGAGCGCCCUAGGGUAAAACCGGUAAUUGGGGCUAAGUCGUAACAAGGUAGCCGUACCGGAAGGUGCGGCUGGAACACCUCCUUUCU